rnacentral:rRNA from 1 species
UAGGGAAUCUUCGGCAAUGGGGGCAACCCUGACCGAGCAACGCCGCGUGAGUGAAGAAGGUUUUCGGAUCGUAAAGCUCUGUUGUAAGUCAAGAACGGGUGUGAGAGUGGAAAGUUCACACUGUGACGGUAGCUUACCAGAAAGGGACGGCUAACUACGUGCCAGCAGCCGCGGUAAUACGUAGGUCCCGAGCGUUGUCCGGAUUUAUUGGGCGUAAAGCGAGCGCAGGCGGUUUGAUAAGUCUGAAGUUAAAGGCUGUGGCUCAACCAUAGUUCGCUUUGGAAACUGGCAAACUUGAGUGCAGAAGGGGAGAGUGGAAUUCCAUGUGUAGCGGUGAAAUGCGUAGAUAUAUGGAGGAACACCGGUGGCGAAAGCGGCUCUCUGGUCUGUAACUGACGCUGAGGCUCGAAAGCGUGGGGAGCGAACAGG